UAAGGAAUAUUGGACAAUGGUCGAAAGACUGAUCCAGCCAUGCCGCGUGCAGGAUUAAGGCCCUAUGGGUCGUAAACUGCUUUUAUACGGGACAAAACCCCUCUACGUGUAGAGGGCUGAUGGUACUGUAAGAAUAAGGGUCGGCUAACUUCGUGCCAGCAGCCGCGGUAAUACGAAGGACCCGAGCGUUAUCCGGAUUUAUUGGGUUUAAAGGGUGCGUAGGCGGAUUUAUAAGUCAGUGGUGAAAGCCUAUAGCUUAACUAUAGAAUUGCCAUUGAUACUGUAGGUCUUGAGUACAGUUGAGGUGGGCGGAAUGUGCAGUGUAGCGGUGAAAUGCUUAGAUAUUGCACAGAACACCAAUUGCGAAGGCAGCUCGCUAAGCUGUAACUGACGCUGAGGCACGAAAGUGUGGGUAGCAAACAGGAUUAGAUACCCCCGUAGUCC
rnacentral:rRNA from 1 species